rnacentral:tRNA from 1 species
GGCGCUGUGGCUUAGUUGGUUAAAGCGCCAGUGUUGUAAAGAGGAGAUCCUGAUCUCGAAUCUCAGCAGUGCCU